AAGCCACUUGGGGACACCGUUGGAGAUCUUUACAUCUCUCCCAUGCCUCAUAAAGGGACUCAUGCUCAUGUUGCAUAAAAGUAGUGAUGUCACUCCUUAGCUU